UACGUAGGGGGCGAGCGUUAUCCGGAAUUAUUGGGCGUAAAGGGUUCGCAGGCGGCCUUGUAAGUCAGAUGUGAAAGACAGCGGCUUAACCGUUGUAAGCAUUUGAAACUGCGGGGCUUGAGUACAGGAGAGGAAAGCGGAAUUCCUAGUGUAGCGGUGAAAUGCGUAGAUAUUAGGAGGAACACCAGUGGCGAAGGCGGCUUUCUGGACUGAUACUGACGCUGAGGAACGAAAGCGUGGGGAGCAAACAGGAUUAGAUACCCGGGUAGUCCCUGAGCGGG
rnacentral:rRNA from 1 species